rnacentral:rRNA from 1 species
UACGAAGGGUGCAAGCGUUACUCGGAAUUACUGGGCGUAAAGCGUGCGUAGGUGGUUGUUUAAGUCUGUCGUGAAAGCCCUGGGCUCAACCUGGGAAUGGCGAUGGAAACUGGGCGACUAGAGUGUGGCAGAGGGUAGUGGAAUUCCUGGUGUAGCAGUGAAAUGCGUAGAGAUCAGGAGGAACAUCCGUGGCGAAGGCGACUGCCUGGGCCAACACUGACACUGAGGCACGAAAGCGUGGGGAGCAAACAGGAUUAGAUACCCUGGUAGUCCACGCCCUAAACGAUGCGAACUGGAUGUUGGGUGCAAUUUGGCACGCAGUAUCGAAGCUAACGCGUUAAGUUCGCCGCCUGGGGAGUACGGUCGCAAGACUGAA